rnacentral:lncRNA from 1 species
AAAUUUCAUCCAGACCUGGAUAAGGUAAGGAUCAAACCUAUGGCCUCUGGAGAAAUCAGUUUCUUUCCCCUCUAAGCCACAGAGACAGGUAUGGGUCUAGGUUUCAAGAUGAAUCAGACUCCUUUGUUGGCAAAGCUCUGGAGAACACCCUGAAGGAGGCCUAUUAGAGGCAAGGCGACUCCCUCCCUGCCUUCCUGAACUAAUCUGAACUAUUUUAAAUUAACUUCUGUAUAAAAAUAUCAUAGUAUAGUUUGAUAAAAAUAUUAUGGUAUAGUAUGUUAAACAUGUCUUAGUAUAGUUAAGAUAAAAAUCCUAACCCUAAAGGCUAAACCAUACAGGAUCCGUAUUGAGCGUGAAACAGCAGCGUCACGUAUUUGCUCCAUAGAGCAGCGCUGUCUAUCACAUACAGGAUGCGUAUUUUGACUGUGGCAGCAGCAAAGUGAAGCCCCGGUCAGCUACUCAUUUUGUAUGGCAAAUGUCACAUACACAAAAGCAAAUACUCCAAAACUCCACCCACCUUAGAAGUUUGCUUCAUGAGUUAAAAGAGUACAUGAAAUCCCUUACACUAGUUGACACUAAACAAAGCACCACAUCCACAGAUAUAUACUAGAGGUUUUUCAAAGAAGAGUAAUGUAUUUACAUUCUGUUUCCUUUUUUUAAUUGUUUUUUUUUGUUCUUUUCCUAUUCCUGUCUAUUCAUUUAUUUAUUAUCUUCCCUACUUUUUAACUUUACUGGCAUUAUUAAUAAUAACCUAAGUUUAAUGUGUUUAUUUUUAUUUAUUUAUUUAUUGAUAAUACAUAUAUAUUGGAGCACCUGUCUGUUGUUUUAUAUACAACUGUUUGUAUGUGCAAACAUUACCAAUAAAGUUCAGUGGAAAAAAAAAAAAAGAAGCCCCAGUCAGCUGGGCUCAGCAUGGAGGAAACAACAUGCUCACAGUGGGUUGUAGUGCCAUUCUGUGGUCUUUUUUCUGCUAAUUUGUAUAAGAUUCAGUGACUGUUGAGCCUCUACUGUAUGUGAAAAAGCAAAGUGAUUUUAAACUUUCGAUUCUGGCAGGUUUACUCGUGUUCAAUGAAGUAAACUUUGUUCCUUUAUGCUGUGCGGUUACCUUCAGACAGAGUUAACGGUAAAAAGUCCUGUUGGAGUACACAAAGAUCAGGAAUUGACCAUCAGUUUGUUCUUUCAAUUUAAAUUGCAGUGUCUUAAAAGGACAGUAAAAGAGAAUAAAACACAGACUGGAUCCUCCUGUGUGUCAACAUGGCUCAGAGGAUAAGAAAACAGACUGGGACUCCCGAGGCUGACGAGUCGAUCCUUACCUUAUCCAAGUCUAAGUGAAAUUUAAAGUCUUUUGCCUAGAAAAGAGACUGAAAUAGGAAAAACACGAAACUUUCCUGUGUAUUCACAUGGCUCAGAGGAUAAGGAGACAGACUGGAACUCCUGAGGUUGUGGGUUCAAGCCUCACCUUAUACACUUGCAGUAAAAUUUUAAGUCUAGUGUCUAGAAAGGAGAGGUAAAUAGGACAAACCCGCAACUCCCCUGUGUGUCUACAUAGUUCAGAGGAUAAGGAGACUGACUGGGACUCCUGAGGUUGUGGUUUCAAGCCUUACCUUAUACACUCGCAGUGAAAUUUAAAGUCUAGUGUCUAGAAAGGAGAGUGAUAUAGGACAAACCCGGAAUUCAACCCAAUGUGUCCACAUAGCUGAAAGGAUAAGGAGACUGACUGAAACUCCUGAGGUUGUGAGUUCAAGCCUCACCUUAUACACUUGUGAAAUUUCAAGUCUAGUGUCUAGAAAGGAGAGUGAAAUAGGAAAAACCCGGAAGUCCCCUGUGUGUCUACGUAGCUCAGAGGAUAAGUAGACUGUCUGGGACUCCUGAGGUUGUGGGUUCAAGCCUUGCCUUAUACACUCGCAGUAAAAUUUAAAGUCUAGUGUUGAGAAAAGAGAUUGAAAUAGGAAAAACCUGGAACUAUCCCUGUUUGUCCACGUAGCUCAGAGGUUAGGGAGACUGACUGGGACUCCUGAGGUUGUGGGUUCAAGCCUUGCCUUAUACACUUGUGGUGAAAUUUAAAGUCGAGUGUCUAGUAAGGAGACUGAAAUAGGACAAACCCGGAAUUACCCUGUGUGUUCACAUAGCUCAGAGGAUAAGGAGACUGCCUGAGACUCUUGAGGUCGUGGGUUCAAACCUUACCCACAUCUAGUUAAAUUUUUAAGUCCUUUAGCCAAAGUAAGAUGAUAAAAGCGGGCAUUCCGCAUGCCCUAGUGUGGAUCCUAUCUAAUUGCCCUGCAUGGAAGUCUAUUGGCACCCAAUGGGGCCUGGUUUGAUACCAACUCCUGGCUGGAGAGUAUUAGUAACGAUCAGAAUUGGCCAUCAUUAGAAGUGAUCAUCA